rnacentral:rRNA from 1 species
CCUANGGGGGGCAGCAGUGGGGAAUAUUGGACAAUGGGCGAAAGCCUGAUCCAGCAAUACCGCGUGUGUGAAGAAGGCCUUAGGGUUGUAAAGCACUUUCAAUUGGAAGGAAAAAUUCGUAGCUAAUAUCUACGAACUUGACAUUACCUUUAGAAGAAGCACCGGCUAACUCCGUGCCAGCAGCCGCGGUAAUACGGAGGGUGCAAGCGUUAAUCGGAAUUACUGGGCGUAAAGCGUGCGUAGGCGGCUCGUUAAGUCAGAUGUGAAAGCCCUGGGCUCAACCUGGGAACUGCAUUUGAAACUGGCGAGCUAGAGUGUGAGAGAGGUAAGUGGAAUUUCAGGUGUAGCGGUGAAAUGCGUAGAGAUCUGAAGGAACACCAGUGGCGAAGGCGACUUACUGGCUUAAAACUGACGCUGAGGUACGAAAGCGUGGGUAGCAAACAGGAUUAGAUACCCCANUANUC